GGAACAGUGAACGAGGGCAGACGUGUGGGUUGGUCGCUGGUGCCUCGUUGACUGAACUGACUGACACGGGGAGAGAGAAAGAAGUUUUCAGUCAGUUUGAAAAUCAAAGUGAAGCGUGACGUGACCAAGUGAAAAGAGAGAGAAAAAAAGACUAUUGAAAUUCAAGUAAAGACGAGAUCUUCUAGGAAAUCAACGGUGUUUGUAAAUAAAAGAGAAUAACUGAAAAAAGAUUCAAAUAGCCCAGAGAGUGACACGAGGCUUAAAGAAAAUCUGGCCAAAAUUUCAUGCUCGUUACUAUUUCCGAAGAAGAGAGGAGAGCGAGAGGAGAAAAUAAAUAAAUACACAAGUUUGGAUUGCAUUAUAAACACACGCGUUUGGAUUACAAUAUAAACCGGUGUUUCUAGAUGUCUAUUAAAGCGUCUAAUCCGAUAUUUUGAGAUGUCUGACGCUCUUUUGACAUCACUCAAAGACAGGCACUCAAUAGUAAGGCUGAAAAACAAGCGGUAACAAGAUAAUUAGAGGAAAAUAGAUUAGUGACUGUGUUUAUUAGAAAGACGUGAUUGAUUGGACGUGAUAAACCUACAUCACUUCAACAGAAAGAAAGAAAAAAUCUAAAAACCCGAACACCCCCCUUUUUUUGUAAAGAUGUACCCCCUACAAGAAAUAUAAAUCAACAAACUAUAUCGAUAUUUAAAGAUGUACCUUCAUCGCAUGUAAAAAAAAAAAAAAAAUACAA